rfam:Oryza rufipogon genomic scaffold, chr06
UGUAAGUGUAACCAUGAAUUUCUGCGCCCAACUUUGAUAGUCCAUCUUAUUUGAAAUUUUUUUAUAAUUAGUAUUGUUGUUGUUAUGAGGUGAUAAAACAUGAAUAGUGCUUUACUCAUGACUUAUGGUUUUUAAUUUUUUUCAAAAAAAAUUUAAAUAAGACGGACGAUCUAAGUUGAGUGCGGAAAACCAUGGCUGCACUUAAA